rnacentral:rRNA from 1 species
AAAGCUCCUUCGGGAGUGAGUAAAGUGGCGCACGGGUGAGUAACACUUGGGUAACAUACCCUUCUGAGGGGGAAAACCAGGGGAAACCCUGGCUAAUACCGCGUACGCCGGAAAUGACCUUGGUCGUUUUCGGGAAAGCCGUAAGGCGCAGAGGGAGUGGCCCGAGUCCCAUUAGUUUGUUGGUGGGGUAAUGGCCUACCAAGGCGACGAUGGGUAGCUGGUCUGAGAGGAUGAUCAGCCACACUGGUACUGGAACACGGACCAG